CGUGUAGGCGGGGAUGUAAGUCAGAUGUGAAAUACCCGGGCUUAACUUGGGAACUGCAUCUGAAACUAUAUUUCUUGAGUGUCGGAGAGGAAAGUGGAAUUCCCAGUGUAGCGGUGAAAUGCGUAGAUAUUGGGAGGAACACCAGUGGCGAAGGCGACUUUCUGGACGAUAACUGACGCUGAGGCGCGAAAGCGUGGGGAGCAAACAGGAUUAGAUACCCUGGUAGUCCACGCUGUAAACGAUGGAUACUAGGUGUAGGAGGUAUCGACCCCUUCUGUGCCGGAGUUAACACAAUAAGUAUCCCACCUGGGGAGUACGGCCGCAAGGUUGAA
rnacentral:rRNA from 1 species